rnacentral:sRNA from 1 species
UUGAAAGCCCUGGAGGCAAAAGUCUUAUUUAUCCACAAAAUAGGUACAGCACAGUCAGCAGCAGCAAACACUUUCUCACACAUACACGCCUUUGCCUGACACUAGUACAGCUAGGAGAAUACAUUAGUCUCCAUGCCUACUCAGUCAUCUUGCUCUA